rnacentral:rRNA from 1 species
AACGAACGCUGGCGGCAGGCCUAACACAUGCAAGUCGAGCGAGGACUUCGGUCCUAGCGGCGGACGGGUGAGUAACGCGUGGGAACGUGCCCUUUGCUUCGGAAUAGCCCUGGGAAACUGGGAGUAAUACCGGAUGAGCCCUUUGGGGGAAAGAUUUAUCGGCGAAGGAUCGGCCCGCGUUAGAUUAGGUAGUUGGUGGGGUAAUGGCCUACCAAGCCGACGAUCCAUAGCUGGUUUGAGAGGAUGAUCAGCCACACUGGGACUGAGACACGGCCCAGACUCCUACGGGAGGCAGCAGUGGGGAAUCUUAGACAAUGGGGGAAACCCUGAUCUAGCCAUGCCGCGUGAGCGAUGAAGGCCUUAGGGUUGUAAAGCUCUUUCAGCUGGGAAGAUAAUGACGGUACCAGCAGAAGAAGCCCCGGCUAACUCCGUG